UUAUUAUAGAGAGUGUACUGAAAAAUCAUACAGGAACGGAGGACGACGUGUGCCAGGCAAUAAAAAAAAUUUUAAAAUAUGCGCCUGAUCGAAAAGGUGGCAGCGGGAGAAAGUAAAAACAUAGUUGAUACAAAAUAACGACCAUGGUUUGGAAGGCCGGUAAACUUCAAAGAGUCACUUACUCAAACUUUAACUGAUGUUGAAAUCUGGGUAAACGAGAGUGCACAAAUGUUAUCUUGCGUUGAUAUAAUAUUAGUAUA